UGGUUAUCAUUUGACUGCUUGUUGGAU
rnacentral:piRNA from 1 species